UAGAAACUUAGGUUACCUCAAACCGAA
rnacentral:tRNA from 1 species